rnacentral:lncRNA from 1 species
AAAAAAAGGAACUACAACUUCUCCAAGACACCCCUCCCCCACUUCUCUACCUCUACCUUCAAAAUCGAAAACUACAAUCACCUCUGUUGCACAACCACUGUCACCACAACAGCGCUGCCCCACCAUUGUCGUCAUUGCCGUACAACCAGCAAAAAUACCUCAGUUCAAAUUUCAUCUUCCCAAGCAAUAUCCUUCAAACCUCUAAAAUCCAUGGUUAUCUUCCCCAAAAUCUCACAUUUUAACCAUUACAAUUUGAGCCCCUGAAAUAGAUCUAAACAUCGAACAGAUUAUAUACUCUUCAUCCAGCAGCAACCCAAGCAAAUCUAAUUGGUGAAGAUGUUUUGUUUGCUCUACAUUCCUCACAGCAUUCCCGGAAGUGCUUUGGGAUUCAAAAGGUGCUCAAGAAAGUGGAGUGCGGUUCAUUUGGGUGGCGAAGUAACUGGCGGUGGGUUUUGGAUUGGUUGUUCAACUUUAACAACAGCUGCCUCUGGCUCUCUUCAACACUACCCACGGUGGUUAUGUCCCCGACUAUCGCCUGGAGUCGGAGCACUGCUUCCUGACAGCCAUGGACGACGCACACAGUACAGUUAAAUGGCUACAAACUCAAUCUCUAUCGAAUAGUUCUGAUCCAUGGUUAUCAGAUGGGGUUGAUUUUGAUUGUUUUCAUAGUGGGGGUGGGAUUUGGAGAAGAUGAAGGUUUUUUUUUUUUUUUCUUAAUUUAAUUAUAGAAAUAUAAAUGGACCAUUUUAUCCCUCCUUCUAUUUGUCAAUUUGAGUCAAAAAUCUAAUUUCAAUGUUAACUAAUGGAAUUCUGGGGAAAAUAUGUCCAAUGGACUUCGAUUGUAGUUAAAGUGGG